rnacentral:misc_RNA from 1 species
GGUCGGCGGCGCGGACGUUGUUUUUGUGUCUGUUUGCUUGCGCGGCGUUGGUUAGAUCGCUGUUGGGAUGUAGUCAGUGAGUUGGUUUGGAGUAGUGCGAGGUGCGAGAGGAGAAAAGGAGAUGGCGACGAGAGGAAGGAGAUGAGGAGAUGGUGAAGGGGCCACAAAUGGAAGAAUCAACGGCUCAGAGUGGCUCAAUUCGCGAUUCAACGGCUCACAAGGAGUUAGGCGGCUCUGAAUCAUUCAGAGAUGGAUCAAAAACGACUGAGAACCGCUCUGAAACGACUCAAACUGCGGUUAAACGACUCUGAACGGCUUCAAAAUGGUUCAGAAACAACUCUGUACGAUUCUCGACGACCCCUCAUGAUUACCACUGAUUCUGAACGACUCACAACGAUCAUUAACGACUCAAGAUGCUGCUCAACUCUGAACCAAAGUCAGAGUCUCAAAAUCAAGCCUUAGUGCGGUACACAACCGACUGUACUUGUAGAUGGCUCCCUCUGAGAUCCGAGCAUCUUUCUAUGAGCUCAGACACGAGAAAUCACACUUCUGGUUCAGCAGUGGCCAGAUUCGAAGGGUCUAGAUGGUUACACUGCUCUUUCCAUUAACUUGGAGUGACCCUAAAAAUGACCCAACAGCGAAUAACUACACCAGACCUUCAAAUGAACUCCAAACCAGUCUGUGGCCUCUCCCGAACUGUUCACAGGUCCUUCUCUUUGGGACCGUAGACAGCUGGCUCUGUACGUUCUCAACUCGGUGAUUUGUGAGUUGUUCAUUGAAGAGACCAAACAUACUACAUUGAAUCACGUUCCCAAACAACUCCGAAUCCACAUCAUCGAAUCUCACGCUCUGUACCCUCCAAUGAUCUUCAUCUUCUCCUGCAACUUGUACAUUCUCCGAAAGUUGUUGUCUAGCCACACUUACAACGUGAUCCAACCACCUCCAGCGAUACAACACCCCUUCCAUUCGAGAGAUCUCAUGCUCGCUAAUCGAUUGGUAUGCCCCUUGUGUCUGUAACUGUCGUCCAACACCACUACCUUCUCCGCUGCUUAUGUAAUCAUUGCGAACAGAUCAGAUAAAACCGAAAAACCCGAAAAAACCGAAAAAAACAAUAAAACCCCCGUUCAAGCCUCCGUCUAGAUCCCUUUCCACGCCAGAACAAAUUCGCCGCCUUCUAGCUGGUAAGAGUUAAAAAUAGUUCGAUGUUUACCACCAAUUUGAACGUGAUAUAUCUGGAUUUGGAGUAACUCCAUGACUAACCUGAAAAGAGCAUUGAAAUCGUCGUUUCCGGAGCAGAGUGGUGGAUACUGGAGAAGACGGUAAUACAUGUGCCAUUGAACGUUUCAGGGUCUCAUUCGUAAGAUCACCGAGUGUUUAAAUCCCGCUUUCGCUCAAUCACUUGUUUUCAGACUACAGAUAUGGACUAGUUAAACAAUACAUAGUUCACAAUACAGUCCACAAUGGCCUUGCCAUUUGAUUGUGUUGUUGGAGUCAGCUGUUGGACUGUGGUUGUCUGCAGGUAACCAUAGAAUCGGGUCGAGACCGGAGUUUGCCAGUGAAUAUUUCCACAUCUGGAUGGGUGGUCUUGAGUCGGUGAUUUGUGAUAAAGAAA